GUGGGGAAUAUUGGACAAUGGGCGCAAGCCUGAUCCAGCCAUGCCGCGUGAGUGAUGAAGGCCCUAGGGUUGUAAAGCUCUUUCACCGAUGAAGAUAAUGACGGUAGUCGGAGAAGAAGCCCCGGCUAACUUCGUGCCAGCAGCCGCGGUAAUACGAAGGGGGCUAGCGUUGUUCGGAAUUACUGGGCGUAAAGCGCACGUAGGCGGAUAUUUAAGUCAGGGGUGAAAUCCCAGAGCUCAACUCUGGAACUGCCUUUGAUACUGGGUAUCUCGAGUAUGGAAGAGGUGAGUGGAAUUCCGAGUGUAGAGGUGAAAUUCGUAGAUAUUCGGAGGAACACCAGGGGCGAAGGCGGCUCACUGGUCCAUUACUGACGCUGAGGUGCGAAAGCGUGGGGAGCAAACAGGAUUAGAAACCCCUGUAGUCC
rnacentral:rRNA from 1 species